rnacentral:misc_RNA from 1 species
GAUGAAGAACGUAGCGAAAUGCGAUACUUGGUGUGAAUUGCAGAAUCCCGCGAAUCAUCGAGUUUUUGAACGCAAGUUGCGCCCGAAGCCAUUCGGCCGAGGGCACGUCUGCCUGGGUGUCACGCAUCGUUGCCCCCCCCAAACUCCGGUUCGGGCGGGGCGGAAGUUGGCCUCCCGUGCGUGCCUGCGCGCGCGGUUAGCCCAAAAGCGAGUCCUCGGCGAUGAGCGCCACGACAAUCGGUGGUUUUUUUACCCUCGUUCCUCGUCGUGCGUGCCCCGUCGCCCGAACGCGCUCGUGCAACCCUUACGCGUCGCCUCGGUGGCGCUCCCAACGCGACCCCAGGUCAGGCGGGACUACCCGCUGAGUUUAAGCAUAUCAAUAAGCGGAGGA